rfam:TPA: Bos taurus chromosome 4, whole genome shotgun sequence.
UCCCUGGCAGUCCAGUGGUUAGGACUCUGUGCUUUCACUGCUGGGGGCCCAGGUUCAACCCCUGGUCAGGGAA